GGGCCGGGUCAGACCGAAAAGAAUGACCAUCAUUUAGUUAUAAAGCUGAGCGAAUGAUCGGUUAACUGUUGUAGGGUUUCCAUGGGGAAGAUGAGCGCAUUUGAGUCCGCCAUUGCUUGGGGUUUGGCCGUCGAAGCCCUCGCAAGCUCGAAACAAGUCGCCGUAUCGAUUCUACACGAUUUGAUCGCCCAAAUCCCACCAAACUUACCCGACGACUUGCGGAACAGAGUCAACGAAAGGGUCGCUCUGCGAUGCUUGGAGGAAUUAUUCGGCGCUCACGAUGCUCCUCCCGUCCGGCGGUCCAAACUCAGCUUCGAAUUGUCGGAGAGCUGCCAACAGGUUCUUAGACGCAUUGUGAAUGAGACAGCAGAAUCUGAUGUGAGGAUGGGAGGAGGAGGGAAGUGGAAAUGGGAUAUUGAGCCCUUUAUUGAGCACAAAAGAGCUUCUAUGCCGACAUGUGCUUUGAACAAGCUUAAAGAUUCUGUUGUUGAUUGGAGUCAUCCAUAUGCUGAAUUGUUUGGAAGAAAGAGUGGAUUAGCUUUUGUUAGGGUUGCUGGGAGUGAUGGUAUUUUGGGGCUUAAUGGUGGCUGCUCUAAUGCUCCAAACAUUGGCGUCGAAGAAGCGCGGAAUGAUGAAAGUGCAUUGCCUUCCAAGAGGGGUAAAAAUGCCUCAGAAACUGAAAAAGUGGCGGAUGAAAACUAUGAUGGUUCGGGUGUAAAUGCCAAGAAGAUGAAGAUGGAUGACUCUUAUGUUUUGCGGUCGGCACAGGACAACUCAGUUCCUUUAGCGGGAAGAGAAAUGUUGGAAGAUUCAUUGGAAAGGGACAUUCCAGUUUCCCAGAGAGAAAAGUGUGUGUUGUCAGAAUUUCGGAUGGAUAUGAGGGUGGAAACGUGGGCACUAGAGGAUGGUCGUGAUGAUUAUACUGCCUCAAAGAGAAGUGGGGAUGCAAUCCAUAAGAGUUUUGUAGAAAAUCCUUGUGCUCAUAAAUUCAAAGAUGGUAGUGGGUUUAGUCCUGAACGUACAAUAUCAGGUAUUGCUCCUCCACAUGAGACGCAGCAUAAGGUUUCUGCUAAAGACUCCAGUUGUAACAUUGAGCAUGAGUUUCAUAUUGAAGUACCACAUCCUGUAUCUGUUGAUGGAUCCAAACAGAAGAGCAUUGCUGAUAAAGGCAAAGGUGUUAGUGAGCAUUGUCCUGAACUAACAACAUCGCCUGUUGCUCCUCCAGGUAAAAGCCAGCGUAAGGUUUUUGCCAAAGAAUCUGAUUACAACAGUGAGCAUGAUUCUCAUAUUAAUAUAACACGUCCUGCAUCAGCAGAUGUAUCCCAGAAGAAGACCAUUGCUGAUGGAGUCAAGGACCUCUCACGCUGGGAUUUCGUCACCAUGGAGAAGCGUGAUUUCUUGAGCUCUAAAUGUGCAUUGACUCGUUAUUACUAUUUGAAAGAGAAAGAUCAUUGUCUAAUGUGUAAUGAAGGUGGUCAGUUGUUGAUUUGUAGUACCAGUGAUUGCCCUUUGGCGUAUCAUGAAAGCUGCAUGGGUUCCAAAUUUAUCUCUUAUAAGACCGGUGACUUCUACUGUCCCUUCUGUGCAUAUGAUCUAGAUCUCACGGAGUAUCUUGAAGCUGAGAAAGAAGCUUCCCGGUUAAAGAAGGACCUAUGGGCGUUUCUUUGUUUGCUAGGAUCAUCUUCUUGAAGGAAGUAAUCAGAAUGGGCAUUUGGGAAGAAAGUUAAGGAAAUCAAAGUGGAGAUUUUGGAACAUGUAGUCAAUGUUUUUCAAUCUCGGAAUAUGGGGGUAGCACCUCCUGCAUUUUUCAGAGCAGACACAGAAAAAAGCAUUGAUUCCGGGUGAUCUUAAACACUGAUGAUAAUUUAUCCCUGAUUUUACCAUCUGGGAGUGUGUUCUACAAAUUGUCAUUCCGCUUUUGUGUCUACAAUCUGAAAUUCUGAAUACCGGGCAAUACAUGACACAGAGAUGCUACCUUUUGAAUCAAAGUUACAGUCUCGACAAUCUGUUUGUGACGAGAAUGUGCCUGCCUGCCUGGUUUAGCCGGAAAACUAGAAAAAUAAAGAAGUGGCGUGGAAUCAAGAAGAGUGAUUGGAAAAUAGGUAAUUCACGCAUAAUGAGGUUACUAGCUGCUGCAAUAUCCAAGAAAAUUUAGUUUUGAACUUUUCAGGUUUCAAUCAGGUCUUAAUUGUAAAUCAAAUUUUGAAAGAAAUGGAUCAAUUCCCAUGCCCCACAUCACAUGAUAACCUUUUUAUAAAGACGUUUGAAUUUUGGGUUGUGUCA